rnacentral:rRNA from 1 species
GAUGAACGCUGGCGGCGUGCCUAAUACAUGCAAGUCGAGCGAACAGACGAGGAGCUUGCUCCUCUGACGUUAGCGGCGGACGGGUGAGUAACACGUGGAUAACCUACCUAUAAGACUGGGAUAACUUCGGGAAACCGGAGCUAAUACCGGAUAAUAUAUUGAACCGCAUGGUUCAAUAGUGAAAGACGGUUUUGCUGUCACUUAUAGAUGGAUCCGCGCCGCAUUAGCUAGUUGGUAAGGUAACGGCUUACCAAGGCAACGAUGCGUAGCCGACCUGAGAGGGUGAUCGGCCCCCCUGGAACUGAGACACGGUCCAGACUCCUACGGGAGGCAGCAGUAGGGAAUCUUCCGCAAUGGGCGAAAGCUUGACGGAGCAACGCCGCGUGAGUGAUGAAGGUCUUCGGAUCGUAAAACUCUGUUAUUAGGGAAGAACAAAUGUGUAAGUAACUAUGCACUUCUUGACGGUACCUAAUCAGAAAGCCACGGCUAACUACGGG